rnacentral:rRNA from 1 species
AGCCUUUAGCAAAACCAGUAUUAAAGGUGAUGCCUGCCCAGUGAUAACAUUUAACGGCCGCGGUAUCCUAACCGUGCAAAGGUAGCGCAAUCACUUGUUCUUUAAAUAAGGACUAGUAUGAAUGGCUCCAUGAGGAUCAACUUGUCUCUCGUAACAAGUCUAUGAAACUGAUCUUCCAGUACAAAAGCUGGGAUAGACUCACAAGACGAGAAGACCCUGUGGAGCUUUAGACUUACCCUCACAAAAAUGACACUACAGUCUUUAGUUGGGGCGACUUUGGAGCAAAACAAAACCUCCAAAACUUCAAACUUAGGCAGCCAUGCCAAAACCUCCAUAACCACUUGACCCAAUAAAAUUGAUCAAUGAACCAAGUUACCCCAGGGAUAACAGCGCAAUCUUCUUUUAGAGUCCCUAUCGACAAGAAGGUUUACGACCUCGAUGUUGGAUCAGGAUACCCAAAUAGUGCAGCCGCUAUUAACGGUUCGUUUGUUCAACGAUUAAUAAUCCUACG